UUUAACCGGUUUUCUCAUUUAUUUAUCGUUUGUUCCUCCUAGACGUCGACUUCGGCUGAUUAGGGUUGCCGAGGGUCCAUUUCUGUAACUGGAUCAUUAUGAAUCUACUCUAUUAGAAGAUUAUUACAGGCUAGGAAAUGGUCGCCAUUGAUGCUGGUUCUGCUUAUGUUGUUCAUGUUAACGAUCGUUCUCUUGAUGCUUUUGCCUUUUUGGGUUUUCUCUCUUCCGUUAAUAAAACCAAACGAAACUUCUCCGAUGGAUCUCUCUUAUUUCCGAUACUGAGAGAUGUGAGGAUGGACUUAGGAAGAGAGGAGAUCAGUCGACUGAUGUGCUCUCUUAGGAACCUAGAGUUUUCGUCUACCACAACUUCUUGAUUUGUCUUCUUAUUUCAAACGAAACUCUUACAAUGAAAUGUUUUAAUGUUUGUUAUGUCUGAACUGAUACUUGUUUUGAAACUAAAAAAUGAAUCUUUGAUUUAUUAAAUAUGUAUUGUUGUUGUUGACCAGUCGAAGGAAGUAUGCGAGUAUUUAAUCAGCCUUGCCAAACCACAUAUGUAGCACUCAACUGUUGUUGAUAGCCAGACCGGGAAGAAAAGACAGCAGGGUGAACAAGCUUAGGGAUCUUUCCUCAGGAGAGGAAGGGACAAAAUCAUUAAGACUAUUGAAAAAACAAUUGCUGAUUACACCUUUAUUCCAGCAGAUCAUGGAAUACCCAAAAUCUCCGCUAAGAACCUUCCAUUAAACAUGCUCCCCCACAAUUUUCACCAAUAUUUGGACCCCAUAUAUUCAACACAAAGUAGUAACAUAGAGCAUAAGGAAUAUAUACAUAUAUUUAUAAAGAGCUGAGUGUUCAUAUAUUUUGUUCUUUAUAUUUUUAGUUUGGUUCUUCUUAAUUGAUUUUUUUUUCAUAGACAUA